AUACGGAGGAUCCGAGCGUUAUCCGGAUUUAUUGGGUUUAAAGGGUGCGCAGGCGGCCAUUUAAGUCAGCGGUUAAAUCGUGGGGCUCAACCCCAUUCUGCCGUUGAUACUGGGUGGCUUGAUUGCGGUCGAGGUUGGCGGAAUUCGUUGUGUAGCGGUGAAAUGCAUAGAUAUGACGAAGAACACCGGUUGCGUAGGCAGCUGACCAGACCGCAAAUGACGCUCAUGCGCGAAAGUGCGGGGAUCGAACAGGAUUAGAUACCCUGGUAGUCCGCACAGUAAACGAUGAAUACUUGUUUUCGGCGAUAUAAUGUCGGAGGCAAAGCGAAAGCGAUAAGUAUUCCACCUGGGGAGUACGCCGGCAACGGUGAAACUCAAAGGAAUUGACGGGG
rnacentral:rRNA from 1 species